rnacentral:lncRNA from 1 species
UCUUUUAGAGCUGGGAGAAUAUAAGGCAUUUUUGAUCUCUAGAUAAGUACCCUUAGGCAUCAAUAUAUAUGCCUGGCUGUGACCUUCAAUCAGGCUGGCUACACCCAUAUAUAUAUAUAUAUUAAAAUUUUCGAAAAAUAUGCUUAAAAGAUUUUAACAAAAUCUUAAUUUUCAAAAAUUAUAUGUAAAUAUUUUCACUUAUUUUUUAAUUAGUUUUGAAAUAUUAUUAUACAUUAUUAUAUUCAGUUAUCGUUUCUAAAAUAAAAAAUAAAUAUUAUAUCCUAUUUUAUCUAUUAUAUAAUCACAAUCAAUC